rnacentral:rRNA from 1 species
GACGAACGCUGGCGGCGUGCUUAACACAUGCAAGUCGAACGGAAAGGCCCUGCCUUUGUGGGGUGCUCGAGUGGCGAACGGGUGAGUAACACGUGAGUAACCUGCCCUUGACUUUGGGAUAACUUUAGGAAACUGUGGCUAAUACCGGAUAGGAGCUCCUGCUGCAUGGUGGGGGUUGGAAAGUUGCGGCGGCUGGGGAAGGACUCGCGGCUUAUCAGCUUGUUGGUGGUGUAGUGGCUUAGCAAGGCUAUGACGGGUAGCCGGCCUGAGAGGGUGACCGGCCACAGUGGGACUGAGAUAGGGGCCAGACUCCUACGGGAGGCAGCGGUGGGGAAUAUUGCGCGAUAGGCGGAAGCCUGAUGCAGCAACGCCGCGUGCGGGAGGACGGCCUUCAGGUUAUAAACCGCUUUCGCCUGUGACGAAGCGUGAGUGACGGUAAUGGGUAAGGAAGCACCGGCUAACUACGUG